rnacentral:lncRNA from 1 species
GGAGUAGAGAUCUGGCUGGUGGAGCCCGUCCGUUGUAGAAGUUCAUCUAGGAUCUAUCCGCUGUAGAAGUUCGGACGGAGUCUGGCUCUUAUAGGAGCUCGGAUGAAAUUCGGAAGGCGGUCGACCACCGUAGAAACUUGGAUGGAGUCUGGUUACUGUAGAAGUCCUGCUGUUGGAGAAGCUCGGUCAUUGACGAAGUCUGGAAGGAGUUCGGAGUAAAGUCGAUCGUGGUCAGAAGAAGUCUGGAAGAGAUUCGGAGAGUAGUCGAUCACUGUAGAAAAUCGGCUGAUAGUGAAGCCCAGAGAGCAUUUGGAGCAGUCCGAUAGAUGAAUGGAGGAGCUCAUUAUUGUAGAAGUCUGGAUGGCACGAUAGGAGUUCAUCCGUUGGAGGAACCUGGAGGACACUGUGGAAGGUCGACCGCUGGGGGAGUCCGGAUGGUAUUAUGGAAGCUUAGAUAGUUGGGGAAGUUCAGAAAGAUGCCGCACAA